rnacentral:rRNA from 1 species
AACGAACGCUGGCGGCGCGCCUAAUACAUGCAAGUCGAGCGAGAAGACGUAGCAAUACGUUUGUAAAGCGGCGAACGGGUGAGGAAUACAUGGGUAACCUACCCUCGAGUGGGGAAUAACUAGCCGAAAGGUUAGCUAAUACCGCGUACGCUCCUUGGACUUCGGUUCAGGGAGGAAAGCGAUACCGUGGGUAUCGCGCUCUUGGAUGGGCUCAUGUCCUAUCAGCUUGUUGGUGAGGUAACGGCUCACCAAGGCUUCGACGGGUAGCUGGUCUGAGAGGACAAUCAGCCACACUGGCACUGCGACACGGGCCAGACUCCUACGGGAGGCAGCAGUAAGGAAUAUUGCGCAAUGGGCGAAAGCCUGACGCAGCGACGCCGCGUGGGGGAUGAAGGUCUUCGGAUUGUAAACCCCUUUCGGGAGGGAAGAUGGAACGAGCAAUCGUUCGGACGGUACCUCCAGAAGCAGCCACGGCUAACUUCGUGCCAGCCGCCGCGGUAAG